rnacentral:rRNA from 1 species
UUUCGUAGUUUAAUUUUACAACCAA